AACAACCCAAAGCCAAAUAAACUUCAUCCAACCAAAACAAUACAAUAUUUUCAACAUAUACAUUAAACUAUUUCAAAAUAAACUUCAUCCAACUUCAAAAUAAACUAAAAUACGAUCAAAUUAAACAAUUCCAAAAAUAUAGAAGUCUAAAAUGUCAAAUAGAUACAACUACUCCUAAUCACUCUCACUCUCCUUAUCAGACGUACCAUUCUCAUCACCCUCAUUUUCCUUAUCAACUUAUCAUUCUCAUCACUAUUGGCCGGAC
rnacentral:lncRNA from 1 species